rnacentral:rRNA from 1 species
UACGUAGGGGGCAAGCGUUGUCCGGAAUCAUUGGGCGUAAAGAGCGUGUAGGCGGCCGGUAAGUCCGCUGUGAAAGUCCAGGGCUCAACCCUGGGAUGCCGGUGGAUACUGUCGGGCUCGAGUCCGGGAAGAGGAGUGUGGAAUUCCUGGUGUAGCGGUGAAAUGCGCAGAUAUCAGGAGGAACACCAAUGGCGAAGGCAGCACUCUGGGACGUG